GACGGGAGCUAUGCUCCCUGAGAUUAGCGGCGGACGGGUGAGUAACACGUGGGCAACCUGCCUAUAAGACUGGGAUAACUUCGGGAAACCGGAGCUAAUACCGGAUACGUUCUUUUCUCGCAUGAGAGAAGAUGGAAAGACGGUUUACGCUGUCACUUAUAGAUGGGCCCGCGGCGCAUUAGCUAGUUGGUGAGGUAAUGGCUCACCAAGGCGACGAUGCGUAGCCGACCUGAGAGGGUGAUCGGCCACACUGGGACUGAGACACGGCCCAGACUCCUACGGGAGGCAGCAGUAGGGAAUCUUCCGCAAUGGACGAAAGUCUGACGGAGCAACGCCGCGUGAACGAAGAAGGCCUUCGGGUCGUAAAGUUCUGUUGUUAGGGAAGAACAAGUACCAGAGUAACUGCUGGUACCUUGACGGUACCUAACCAGAAAGCCACGGCUAACUACGUGCCAGCAGCCGCGGUAAUACGUAGGUGGCAAGCGUUGUCCGGAAUUAUUGGGCGUAAAGCGCGCGCAGGUGGUUUCCUUAAAGUCUUGAAUGUGAAAGCCCACGGCUCAACCCGUGGAAGGGGUCAUUGGAAACUGGGGGAACUUGAGUGCAGAAGAAGGAAAAGUGGGAAAUUCCAAGUGUAGCGGGUGAAAUGCGUAGAGAUUUGGAGGACACCAGU
rnacentral:rRNA from 2 species